UGGAAGCUGAGGACGCCUACUGUCCCCUCGGAACCCAGGUGGGGCUGGGAGUCUGCUGUUUGUACAGCCGGUGGGCUCGUGUUGCUUUGGGCAUCCCUGUGCCUGAAUUCCUGCAGUACCCUCGGUGUGCAUUCCAUGGUGCAUCCUUGCCUAGAAUUGAGUGGAAGAAAGUCCAUCUCAGAAGGGACAUAACUGAAGAGGGAUGGCUUUCCAGACUCUGAUGGGCAGAGAGAGCAGCAGCCUGGCCCUGUGUAAAACAUGAAGCGUGGACAGCCUGGUGAGCACAGCUCUGCCCUCAAGACCUGUUUCAACUCCUCUCUUCCCGGAAAACAGCAUCUCUGAGCCCGUCCUUGGUGACCUCAGAGAGAUCACCCUAGUGGCCCAGGCUAGUGACCGGGAACAUGUACCUUCCUGCAGCCAACCCCAGACGUCCACUGAUGCAUCAUAUACUGGCAAAGAUCCUGGCCUAGGGUGACCUUGGCCGCCGGAGAUUCGCCAGAUGUUGGACUCCAGAUUCGCCAGAUGUUGGACUCCAGGUGACAUUUUAAGUUAUUGGGUCCCAGAUUGCUGGCACACUCAUCCCUGUUCUCAAAUAUAUUUUGAACUUGGGUGAAGUGAUAAGUAGGGGAAGAUGAUUUACCAAAAGCAAUGCAGAGUCUCCCAAGAAGAGAUUCAGACUGAACAGCUUUGUGUCAGACAUUGGAAGACCGCUGGUGCCCAAGGUGUUCUCUGGCAGGGCAAUGACGAAUCUAGGUCCCUCUUUCACUGCUACGUCAAUGAAGUGGGCCACUUGGACAAGGCCAAAUCUGCAAUCCCAACCAUAGCCCUUGACAGGGAUGUUCGGCUCCAGGAAGCCAUCAGAUGCAGCAGGUGGCCAGAGGAGGAGCCGAACGGGCUCAUGAAAUGUGACACCCCCAGCUUCAUCAACACGGACCAGAACUCUUCCUUUGGGGAAGAUGAUCUCCUGAUUUUGGAACCACCAAUUGUUCUAGAAGAUAAGCCAGUUGCUCAGACCUCACACAAAGACUUGAAUUGAGAAACGUGCUUUGUCAAGUGUCUUUCUGAAGAUGUGAAGUCUGUCUUUGUAUGGCAGGAAUUCCCCUUUCACAAAACUGUAUGUGUUUGUGUCUGAGAGAGAGAAAUGGAGACAGACAGAAAGACGGAGACAGAAGAGCGCCCCCUCAGAAGAGAGCUAGUUAAGGAGGAGGAUCAAUGCAUGGUGCAUUUUAUGACAGUCCUGUCCCCAGGAAUGCACGGAAGGUUAUCAGCUGAGUAAGGGGAGGUGCCUCUGUGUCCCUGUGUCCCUAUAUCUCUGCUUACAGUGCCCUGCCACCGGCUACUGAGCAAGAAAAG